GGGAUCCUGAGGGUGGGGGCACCCUCAGGGCACUAUAGUGUCAGGAAAACCUCUUUGUUUUCUUUACACUAUAGUGAUCCUUUAAGUAAUCAAGCUAAAUUAAAAUUGAAGGUGUGAUUUUAAAAAAUAAGAAGUAAAACACAUUUCUCUUUACAUUGCAUAUGAUGGCCAAGAAAAUAAAGUUCAUGAACGUGUUUACUAUAUAUAGCAGAUUAUGCAAUAAUGGUUAUGCGUAAUGUGGGACAGUCAUUGCCAUUUAAUUAAGCAUCUGUAUAAAUGUAGACAAUUGAAAUAUAACACCAAUUACUGUCGUGCAUGGAUUUAUGGGAUAACCUCAGUUGUACUAUAGAAAUGUAACUAAGCAUCAUGAGUUGCUGAGUCACUUCCUGGUCUGGAUAGAAAUCACAACAGAAGCUGAAAAACGUGGAAAUUGCAGCAAAUGCAGCAGCUCAC